GUGCCGCCCGUGCUGUCUUAUGAACUCAUGCCGCGCAUCAGCUGCUUGUAGUCCGCACUGUUUCCGUGGAGCUGACGGCAAUCUGCUCACGCUACAGGACCCUGUGAAGAAUGACAGUUUCCACCCAUUUCAUCAUCAUCUUGGAAAUCAAGGUCUCAUGUGAAGGCCAUGUGUUUGACCCGUCGACACUGCUCCUGUUGCGCCAGGUC
rnacentral:lncRNA from 1 species